ensembl:snoRNA SNORD14 Small nucleolar RNA SNORD14
UCACUGUGAUGAUUAAUUUCUGGACAUUCACAGUUUCCACCAAAAAGGUUUUUCUUUAUGUUCGCUAGUUCUUCCUUGGAUGUCUGAGUGA